rnacentral:rRNA from 1 species
UGGUGGGUUGCCUUGUCAGGUUGAUUCCGGUAACGAACGAGACCUCAGGGAGCUUGUUGGGUGGUGGGGGUGGUGCAUUCCACCCUCCCAUCUCCAAGCCCGACUCUUGGCGACUAGCCAAGGGAAGUUUGAGGCAAUAACA